ACUUCUUGUCAGAAGGGGUAAUAGCAAGUCUAGGAAUAAGAACAAUUCGCCCAAUCUUAUCUCCUAUAAUCACUUUCACCUUUAUCAUGUAAUCAUACAUCUCUGUAAUCUGAAGUCGAGUUCCAUUCAUUAAUCCGCCAGUAGGAUCUAUGUUUCUUAGCAACAUCACAAGACAACCGAUUUUCAAUGAUUUGGUAAACCUUAAACUCAGAACAUCUUUCUCUUUCACUCACUACAGUUUUCGACUCUUCAAAAACCUUCUUUUUGCAAUCGAGGCAACUAAAAUAAUACCAACCCCAAUCGAUAUUAAUGUCACAUAUAGUUGCCAUAACUCUGCAUUGUUCAAUCUAAAAAAAAAAAAAAAAUUAUUUGAGUGACAUUUUAUAUAAAUAUAAAAAUAUCAAUAUAUAUAUUAUAUAAUAUUAC
rnacentral:lncRNA from 1 species